AUACGGGAGGCAGCAGUGGGGAAUAUUGGGCAAUGGGGGAAACCCUGACCCAGCGACGCCGCGUGAGGGAAGAAGGUUUUCGGAUUGUAAACCUCUGUCUUUGGUGACGAUAAUGACGGUAGCCAAAGAGGAAGCUACGGCUAACUACGUGCCAGCAGCCGCGGUAAUACGUAGGUAGCGAGCGUUGUCCGGAAUUACUGGGUGUAAAGGGAGCGUAGGCGGGGAGACAAGUUGAAUGUUUAAACUAUGGGCUUAACCCAUAGUCGCGUUCAAAACUGUUUUUCUUGAGUGAAGUAGAGGCAGGCGGAAUUCCUAGUGUAGCGGUGAAAUGCGUAGAUAUUAGGAGGAACACCAGUGGCGAAGGCGGCCUGCUGGGCUUUAACUGACGCUGAGGCUCGAAAGCGUGGGUAGCAAACAGGAUUAGAUACCCUGGUAGG
rnacentral:rRNA from 1 species